GCCCCCCUAGCUCAGUUGGUAGAGCGUUUCCAUGGUAAGGAAGAGGUCAACGGUUCGAUUCCGUUGGGGGGCU
rnacentral:tRNA from 1 species